CGACGCUGGCGGCACGCCUAACACAUGCAAGUCGAACGAAGUAGCAAUACUUAGUGGCGAACGGGUGAGUAUAAUGUGGGUAUCUGCCUUUUGGUUUGGAAUAACACGGGGAAACUUGUGCUAAUACCGUAUAAGCCUUUACAGGGAAAGCUUUAGCGCCAAAAGAUGAGCCCGCACUUGAUUAGCUAGUUGGUAAGGUAAUGGCUUACCAAGGCUACGAUCAAUAGCUGAUCUGAGAGGAUGAUCAGCCACAUUGGGACUGAGACACGGCCCAAACUCCUACGGGGGGCAGCAGUGGGGAAUCUUGCACAAUGGGGGAAACCCUGAUGCAGCGAUGCCGCGUGAGUGAAGAAGGCCUUUGGGUUGUAAAGCUCUUUCGUCGGGGAAGAAAAUGACUGUACCCGAAUAAGAAGGUCCGGCUAACUUCGUGCCAGCAGCCGCGGUAAUACGAAGGGACCUAGCGUAGUUCGGAAUUACUGGGCUUAAAGAGCUCGUAGGUGGUUAAGAAAGUUGGUGGUGAAAUCCCAAGGCUUAACCUUGGAACUGCCACCAAAACUUUUUGACUAGAGUAUGAUAGAGGUAAGUGGAAUUUCUAGUGUAGAGGUGAAAUUCGUAGAUAUUAGAAAGAACACCAAUUGCGAAGGCAACUUUCUGGAUCAUUACUGACACUGAGGAGCGAAAGCAUGGGUAGCGAAGAGGAUUAGAUACCCUCGUAGUCCAUGCCGUAAACGAUGUGUGCUAGACGUUGGAAACUUUAGUUUUCAGUGUCGCAGCGAAAGCGUUAAGCACACCGCCUGGGGAGUACGACCGCAAGGUACCUAAAUGAUACG
rnacentral:rRNA from 1 species